rnacentral:lncRNA from 1 species
UUUACUUUUUGCAUGUACUUUUUCUUUGUUAAAUAUUCACAUAAAAGCUGCCACAUAUAUAAAUUUUAAUUUGUGCAACAAAGGUGACCUAUUGCAGCCUUGCUUGGCUAUCAUUUUUGCUCCAUCUUGCUUUCUAACUCUGAGGUGACAAAUGAGCUUGGUCCUGAUUAAGAGGGAAAUACCACACAAUAUUACCAACACCUUUGGUUCUUCUUCAUAAAAAGAAUCAUAUGUGGGCUUGCUUAGCUUGUAAUAUUUUAGUCUGUUACAGUGCUGAAAAUACAUAAUUAGACACUGUGCAUAUUAAGCAUGAUUCUAUGACAGAGAGGAGAACAAAGGGGAAAUGCUGAAGGGGAAUAUAUGUGCAUCAAUAAAAGGCAAUAAUUCAUUUGCAGUGGAUUACACAGAGAUAAGAACCUCAUUAAAGAACAUUUUAGUUAUAGUAUAUAGCUAUAACUAAACUAUAGUAUAUAGUAUCCAACAUGUUAACAUCUGGACAAACAGAAAGAGAGCAAUUUCACAUUACAAAGGAGUGUGAUGACUACACAUCAUUUCACAAUGGAAAACAGUGAACAAGAAAAUAGAAAAGAAACAUACUGACAAGAUCAGACAUAUUUUUAAAUGUGCUGCAUUUAAUGCAAUCCAAGACUAUCAACAAUUUAGAUGCUGUGACAACAUGCCACUGCCAUUUGUGGAAACAGUUAAAGCAUCUUGCACCGAUUACUCAGUGACCAAAAACAGGCAAACAAGUAAUGCAACAAAAUGACUAAUGCGUUCAUAGUAACAUACAACAGAAUAAUCUUCCAACCACAGCAUUCUUCCCAGAGUUUGAAAGAAUUAUGGCAUAUGGACUGGAAGGACACAAAGUGCUUACAGUAUUAAAUACUAAGAUAUUUACUUUGGCACAAAAUUUGUGUUCCAACCAAAUAAAAUGAGAUUUCUUCUAAAACACAUAUCUUUAGUAAGGUAAAAACGAACACAUCACAAAAUCAGUAUGUCCGCAAGAAAAUAAAAAAUGUUACAGUAUUUUUUCAUUAGGAACAAACAUGAAGACAGAAGAACAAUCAUUGCCAAAUUCAGGACACUACAAGGAAAGAAAAGUGCAAAGAAAAACUGCAUUGAUUAAGCAGAUCUUCUAGAAACAACUUUGGGAAAGUUCAUUAUUAAAGACAAAGAGUUGUCUUCAACUUCCUUCUAAUUCAUAAAGAAUCCUUUUAAGAAAGUCUACAACUGGGGUGGUCCCUAAUCUGUAGAUCAAGUUGUAUCAGGCUUCUCCAUUCCCCGAGCUGGCCAGGAGUCAAUGCAGGGAGUGGUAUGAGGCCAGCAGGACUGAAGACAGCUCUUACUGCCCUGCUGUCAACUUCAAGGCUUUGGGAAGUGAAAUGCACCUCUCUUGCUCAGGAAGAAACUGGGUAGGGUUUCUGUUCCAAAAUCAACUGUUAUGACUUCAACACAAAUUUUUAAAAAGCCACUCAACUCAAGGUUUUAAGCAGAAUGACAUGAAAAGUGAGCAUGCACAUUUAUGAAUAAGGUGAAAAGGGGGUGGGAGGAAGAAAGUAAAAGGCCACAGAACAUGUGUUUGGCUGGCUGCCUGGCUAUGAGGUGAAUUUUAAGUAACUUUUCAGGCCAUAUUUACCUGAGGGGUUCAGACAGCAUUAGAGUAUGGCCUCAGUUUGCUUUCCAAAAGUAUGCUAAGUUACAUACGAUACUCUCUUUGAAAGUUAAACAAUAGAUCAAGAGACCUGGUACAAAGGAUUUCUCAUAUAAGUAACUGGUAGAGAAAAAUUAAAAUGUAGUUUUGUAUAUUAUAUUUUUGAGACCAACCCUACUGAAGAAUUCUCUACAUAUGGACCAUGAUAUGCAGCUAGAAAUCACCAAGCAGAGAUGUUCCAAGUAUCAAUUUUGUGACAGGGUGAAUCCUAUGUGUAGAAUUGCUUGGUCAAAUGGAGUAUUUAGAAGAGAAGCAUCAUGAUGCUUGCAUCUUACAUUCAAGUGGUUUGACAAAAACAUCGACAUUAAUUCCUUGAGUUUCUUUUCUACAAAAGCACUGGCUAUUAAUUCUGAAACAACUUUCUGUGUAUUCUAAAAAGGCUCAAAUAAAUACGUUGCAGAUAAAUGAAGCCACUUUUCUCACUGUUGAAGAAGAAAAUUACAGAUAUGAAAACAGACAGGGUCUGCUCUGUUGGCCAGGCUGGAGCGCAGUGUCACAAUGUCUACUCACUGCAGGCUCUACCUCCUGGGCUCAAGCGAUUCUCACACCUCAGCCUCAAGAAUGGCUCAGACUACAGGCAUGUACCUCUGU